rnacentral:rRNA from 1 species
GUGUCAGCAGCCGCGGUAAUACGUAGGGUGCAAGCACUGUCCGGAUUCACUGGGCGUAAAGGGUGUGCAGGCGGACUGGCGGGUCCAUGGUGAAAGCUCACGGCUCAACCGGGAAAUUGCUGUGGAAACUACCAGUCUAGAGGACGGAAGAGGAAACUGGAACUUCCGGUGUAGCGGUAAAAUGCGUAGAUAUCGGAAGGAACGCCAAUAGCGAAGGCAGGUUUCUGGGACGUUCCUGACGCUGAAACACGAAAGCUAGGGGAGCAAACAGGAUUAGAUACCCGUGUAGUCC